rnacentral:rRNA from 1 species
AGGAAUUGGCGGGGGAGCACCACAACGGGUGGAGCUUGCGGUCUAAUUGGAUUCAACGCCGGAAAUCUUACCGGGACCGACAGCAAUAUGUAGGUCAGGCUGAAGACCUUACCUGAAUCGCUGAGAGGAGGUGCAUGGCCGUCGCCAGUUCGUACUGUGAAGCAUCCUGUUAAGUCAGGCAACGAGCGAGACCCGUGCCCACUGUUACCAGCAUAUCCUCCGGGAUGAUGGGUACUCUGUGGGGACCGCCGGUGUUAAAUCGGAGGAAGGUGCGGGCCACGGUAGGUCAGUAUGCCCCGAAUUUCCCGGGCUACACGCGGGCUACAAUGAAUGGGACAAUGGGUCCCUCCCCUGAAAAGGGCUGGUAAUCUCACAAACCCAUCCUUAGUUCGGAUCGAGGGCUGUAACUCGCCCUCGUGAAGCUGGAAUCCGUAGUAAUCGCGUUUCAAUAUAGCGCGGUGAAUACGUCCCUGCUCCUUGUACACACCGCCCGUCA